rfam:Schistosoma rodhaini strain Burundi genome assembly, scaffold: SROB_scaffold0001790
AUUCAGCUGACGAGUCCCAAAUAGGACGAAAGGCACGUCCUGGAU